UGUCUCAGAGUGGUGGCGGGAGGUUUCUCCUUUCGUAUUUGGUUAUCUGUAUUUUCUAUAUUCUGCACGGUAAGACCAAAAGAACGAAGUGCAUUUAAAGAAAACAAAGAAAGAAAGAAGUGGGCGGAGCCCGCCUUCCGGUCCCCGUCCGCGCGCUCUACACCAGACCUGUGAGUGACAGAACCUUCAGAGGAUUCCAACCCCAACCUUCAAGCCAGUUGAAAAUUAAUGGAACAGAGACAAGACUUCCCCACUGUCCCCUGUCCGUAUUCUGGGCUCACAGGAUCCGAAACACCCCUGAAGUACUGGUGGUAAAGGAGUAUCAUGUCUGCAACUUACUCUCAAAUGUUUCAGCGGAAAAAAUGGCAGUAGAAGGAGGCAUGGAGACAAGGAGGAAAAAAGCCAUCAGGAUAAUCUGUGGUCAAAGGACUCUGGACACAGUGAUAUCGAACAUCUAAUUUUAAAUAUUUGCCUUUCACUGUAAGCAAACCUUUACUAUGUUUUGCUAAAAUUAGGGCCUGAUGUUUCCUGUAACUUGGGAGAUGAAGGAAGAGCUUCUUUUUCUUCUUGGGAUACAGAGGAGCAUGGAGGGGGCAGAGCUUGGAAGAGCUGUCAUGUCAAUCAAGGAGGUAACCGGCAGAGGUCUUGGAACAGCAGUCCAGAGCAAAAAGUGAGAGGAGAGGACCAGAAGAGAUCUGUGGUGCAUGGAAGCAUUUCUGGCACCCUCAGAAAUCUUAAUGCAGGGAAACUAGGUAAAAGACCAAACUUUCUGUAUUUACACAUAA